GAUGAACGCUGGCGGCGUGCCUAAUACAUGCAAGUCGAGCGAACAGACGAGGAGCUUGCUCCUCUGACGUUAGCGGCGGACGGGUGAGUAACACGUGGAUAACCUACCUAUAAGACUGGGAUAACUUCGGGAAACCGGAGCUAAUACCGGAUAAUAUAUUGAACCGCAUGGUUCAAUAGUGAAAGACGGUUUUGCUGUCACUUCUAGAUGGAUCCGCGCCGCAUUAGCUAGUUGGUAAGGUAACGGCUUACCAAGGCGACGAUGCGUAGCCGAACUGAGAGGGUGAUCGGCCACACUGGAACUGAGACACGGACCAGACUCCUACGGGAGGCAGCAGUAGGGAAUCGUCCGCAAUGGGCGAAAGCCUGACGGAGCAACGCCGCGUGAGUGAUGAAGGUCUUCGGAUCGUAAAACUCUGUUAUUAGGGAAGAACAAAUGUGUAAGUAACUAUGCACGUCUUGACGGUACCUAAUCAGAAAGCCACGGCUAACUACGUG
rnacentral:rRNA from 1 species